rnacentral:rRNA from 1 species
GACAGAGGAUGCAAGUGUUAUCCGGAAUCACUGGGCGUAAAGCGUCUGUAGGUGGUUCGAAAAGUCCACUGUUAAAAAUUGAGGCUUAACUUCAAAGAUGCCGUGGAAACUUUCAAACUAGAGUAUGGUAGGGGUAGAGGGAAUUUCCAGUGGAGCGGUGAAAUGCGUAGAUAUUGGAAAGACCACCGAUGGCGAAGGCACUCUACUGGGCCACUACUGACACUGAGAGACGAAAGCUAGGGGAGCAAAUGGG